rnacentral:rRNA from 1 species
UACGGGGGGGGGCAAGCGUUGUUCGGAAUUACUGGGCGUAAAGGGCUCGUAGGUGGCCAACUAAGUCAUACGUGAAAUCCCUCGGCUUAACCGGGGAACUGCGUCUGAUACUGGAUGGCUUGAGUUCGGGAGAGGGAUGCGGAAUUCCAGGUGUAGCGGUGAAAUGCGUAGAUAUCUGGAGGAACACCGGUGGCGAAGGCGGCAUCCUGGACCGACACUGACGCUGAGGAGCGAAAGCCAGGGGAGCAAACGGGG